rnacentral:rRNA from 1 species
CGGAGCAUCGUAAGAUGUGACGGCGUGCCUUUUGCAUAAUGAGCCUACGAGUUAAUUUCACUAGCGAGGUUAAGUAGUUCAGCUACGGAGCCGCAGCGAAAGCGAGUCUGAAUAGGGCGAUAUAGUUAGUGGGAUUAGACGCGAAACCUUGUGAUCUAUCCAUGGGCAGGUUGAAGCUUUGGUAACACAAAGUGGAGGACCGAACCGGUUGACGUUGAAAAGUCUUCGGAUGACCUGUGGUUAGGGGUGAAAGGCUAAUCAAACUGGGAGAUAGCUCGUACUCCCCGAAAUGCAUUUAGGUGCAGCGUUAAGAAUAAGUAUAAUAGAGGUAGAGCUACUGAUUGGAUGCGGGGGUUUCACCGCCUACCAAAUCCUGACAAACUCCGAAUGCUAUUAUAUGUUUCUUAGCAGUGAGGGCAUGGGUGCUAAGGUCCAUGUCCGAGAGGGAAACAACCCAGAGCAGCAGCUAAGGUCCCGAAAUGUAUACUGAGUUGAAAAAACGAGGUCGGACUGCACAGACAGCUAGGAUGUUGGCUUGGAAGCAGCCAUUCAUUUAAAGAGUGCGUAACAGCUCACUAGUCGAGCGGUCCGGCAUGGAUAAUACUCGGGCAUAAGUAUACUACCGAAGCUCUGCGAAAUAAUAUAUUUCGGUAGGGGAGCAUUCUGUUGGCGUUGAAGGUGUGAGGUGACUCAUGCUGGAGCAGACAGAAAAGAAAAUGUAGGCAUAAGUAACGAUAAUGGGGGUGAGAAACCCCCACGCCGUAAAUCCAAGGUUUCCUCAGCUAUGCUAAUCAGCUGAGGGUUAGUCGGGUCCUAAGGCUAAUCCGAAAGGAGAUGUCGAUGGCCAAUCGGUUAAUAUUCCGAUACCCGCUGUAAAUUCGAAGGAGGGACAGAGUAAUGAAACUACCGCGUACUGACGGAAUAGUACGUUAAAGCGUGUAGGUAUAUCUUUGAUAGUUAAAUGCGUCAAGGAUGCCGAAUGUGAUAGUACCAGGAAGCUUCGGCCGAAUGGAUAGUGUAGGUAAGAGCUCUCAAGAAAAACUUCUAAGGCUAGUUUACAGUGGCCCGUACCAAAACCGACACAGGUGGAUGAGGAGAGUAUCCUAAGGCGCUCGAGUGAAUCAUGGUUAAGGAACUAGGCAAAAUAGACCUGUAACUUCGGGAGAAAGGUCGCUCCCCGUAAAAGGGGAGCCGCAGUGAAAAGGCCCAGGCGACUGUUUAUCAAAAACACAGGACUCUGCAAAAUCGAAAGAUGACGUAUAGGGUCUGACACCUGCCCGGUGCUGGAAGGUUAAGGAAGGAUGUUCGGAGCAAUCCAAAGCAUUUGACUGAAGCCCCAGUAAACGGCGGCCGUAACACUGACGGUCCUAAGGUAGCGAAAUUCCUUGUCGGGUAAGUUCCGACCUGCACGAAUGGUGUAACGAUCUGGGCACUGUCUCAACCAUGAGCUCGGUGAAAUUGUAGUAUCGGUGAAGAUGCCGAUUACCCGCAAUGGGACGAAAAGACCCUGUGAACCUUUACUAUAGCUUCGUAUUGACUUCGGGUAAAUGAUGUGUAGGAUAGGUGGGAAACUAUGAAGCGGCUUCGCUAGGAGUCGUGGAGUUAACGUUGAAAUACCACCCUUUAUUUAUCUGGAGCCUAACUUCUGUAAGAAGGACAUUGCGUGGCGGGUAGUUUGACUGGGGUGGUCGCCUCCAAAAGAGUAACGGAGGCUUUCAAAGGUACCCUCAGCACGCUUGGCAACCGUGCGUAGAGUGUAAUGGCAUAAGGGUGCUUGACUGUGAGGCCAACAAGCCGAACAGGUGCGAAAGCAGGACAUAGUGAUCCGGUGGUUCCGCAUGGAAGGGCCAUCGCUCAUAGGAUAAAAGGUACUCCGGGGAUAACAGGCUAGUCUCCCCCAAGAGCUCACAUCGACGGGGAGGUUUGGCACCUCGAUGUCGGCUCAUCACAUCCUGGGGCUGAAGCAGGUCCCAAGGGUACGGCUGUUCGCCGUUUAAAGUGGUACGCGAGCUGGGUUUAGAACGUCGUGAGACAGUUCGGUCCCUAUCUGCCAUGGGCGUAGGAAAAUUGAGGGGGUUUGCUUCUAGUACGAGAGGACCGAAGUGAACGCACCGCUGGUGUUCGGGUUGUGAUGCCAAUUGCAUUGCCCGGUAGCUACGUGCGGAAUAGAUAAGUGCUGAAA